UACGUAUGGAGCAAGCGUUAUCCGGAUUUACUGGGUGUAAAGGGUGCGUAGGUGGCAGUGCAAGUCAGAUGUGAAAGGCCGGAGCUCAACCCCGGAGCUGCAUUUGAAACUGCAUAGCUAGAGUACAGGAGAGGCAGGCGGAAUUCCUAGUGUAGCGGUGAAAUGCGUAGAUAUUAGGAGGAACACCAGUGGCGAAGGCGGCCUGCUGGACUGUUACUGACACUGAGGCACGAAAGCGUGGGGAGCAAACAGG
rnacentral:rRNA from 1 species